GGAUGGAGCCAGAGCCCUAUACAGUAUCUCCCUGAGCAUGGAACAGAUGGAAGAAAAAAAUCUAAUAAGAAGAGCAGGCAUCAUACCAUCCAAAGAACAAAGGAUGCUAUAGACUGGGAAAAAGUUUUGUAAGUGUCACGUUUAGGGACUCCCCUCACACAUCUAACACAUAGGCUGGAGGAUGGAGACAGGGAAAAGGAAAUGGUGUUCAACAGCAUCUUACAUACCAAUGAACUACUUAGGGACUGUUUUCCACAAGGAUGGGACUUUGAGGAGUAACAUCAUCAAGCCUGAAUUUUAAAAGAUCACACGUUUAUUAUCUUUAUCCUUGAUGACGA